rnacentral:tRNA from 1 species
GUCCCCGUAGCUCAGUAGGAUAGAGCAACAGUUUCCUAAACUGUAGGUCGGAUGUUCGAAUCAUCCCGGGGACGCCA